GGGGCCUGACGUCCUCGUCGGCAUACUCGCACCACACGGCAGACAAGAUUAGCAUGGCCCAUGCGCGAUGACACGAAUAAAUCGAGAAAUGGUCCAAAUUUUU